rnacentral:rRNA from 1 species
CCUACGGGCGGCAGCAGUGAGGAAUAUUGGGCAAUGGCCGUAAGUCUGAACCAGCCAAGUAGCGUGAGGGAAGACUGCCCUAUGGUUUGUAAACCUCUUUUAUGCGGGGAUAAGGGUGUCCGCGUGUGGAUGUUUGCAGGUACCGCAUGCAUAAGGACCGGCUAAUUCCGUGCCAGCAGCCGCGGUAAUGCGGCAGGUCCGGUCGUUAUCCGGAUUUAUUGGGUUUGAAGGGAACGUAGGCCGGUCUGUAAGCGUUCCGUGAAAUUUUGUGGCUCAACCAUAAGAUUGCGGCGCGAACUGGUGACCGUGAGUGCGCGGAAGGCAGGCGGAAUUCGUGGUGUAGCGGUGAAAUGCUUAGAUAUAACGAAGAACCCCGAUUGCGAAGGCAGCCUGCCGCAGCGUUACUGACGCUGAAGCUCGAAAGCGCGGGUAGCGAACAGGAUUAGAUACCCCUGUAGUC